rnacentral:rRNA from 1 species
GACGGGGCCGCACAAGCGGUGGAGCAUUGUGGUUUAAUUCGACGCAACGCGAAGAACCUUACCAGGGCUUGACAUCCCCUGACCGCGUAUGAAAGUACGUUUUCACCCUCGGGUGACAGGGAGACAGGUGGUGCAUGGUUGUCGUCAGCUCGUGUCGUGAGAUGUUGGGUUAAGUCCCGCAACGAGCGCAACCCCUACGUUUAGUUGCUAACAGGUGAAGCUGAGCACUCUAGACGAACUGCCGUUGACAAAACGGAGGAAGGUGGGGAUGACGUCAAAUCAUCAUGCCCCUUAUGUUCUGGGCUACACACGUGCUACAAUGGCCGGUACAGACGGAGGCGAAGCCGCGAGGCGGAGCAAAUCCGAAAAAGCCGGUCUCAGUUCGGAUUGCAGGCUGCAAUUCGCCUGCAUGAAGUCGGAAUCGCUAGUAAUCGCAGGUCAGCAUACUGCGGUGAAUACGUUCCCGGGCCUU